CUAGCGGGUAUCGCGAGAGCAGGCGGGUGGCGAGGUGCUUCCCGGCGCUUCCAGGGUAGGAGUAUUUGCGCGUGGGAGUUUUCAGAUCUUGUGGUCCUGCCUCACCGAACUGCUCAUGGUCCUCGGGUCUCUGCUAUGGCCUGGGAAAGCAGUAGAAGAUGAACCAAGUCCUGCCCCUGAGUGGGAAGACCCACAGGAAGCUCCUGGCUCCUGGCUUCGGAUCGGCCCAACUCUGACCAUUGCGGCCAUUUGGGAAGUGAACCAGCAGAUGGAAGACCUCUUUUUUCUCUCUGCCUCUCCUUCUCUCUGUGUAACUCUGACGUUCAAAUAAAUAAAUAACACAACAAAGAAAUUAUGUUUUUGCAAAAAUUAAAAAAAAAAGGAAGUAAGGAGAGAGAUUGACAGAUG